UACGAGUGCCCCCGAGCGUUAUCCGGAAUUAUUGGGCGUAAAGGGUGUGUAGGCGGUCUUAUUAGUCUUUUGUUAAAGCUCCCGGCUUAACCGGGAAAAUGCAAGAGAAACGGUAAGACUGGAGGGUGCAAGAGGCUUAUAGAACUCAUGGUGUAGGGGUGAAAUCCGUUAAUAUCAUGGGGAAAUACCAAAGGCGAAGGCAGUAAGCUGGUGCACAUCUGACGCUGAAACACG
rnacentral:rRNA from 1 species